AGUCGAGCGAUGAACACCUUCGGGUGUGAAUUAGCGGCGAACGGGUGAGGAACACGUGAGAAAUCUGCCUUCACACUGGGAUAACUCCGGGAAACCGGGGCUAAUACCGGAUAUGAAAUCUGCGGGCAUCCGCGGAUUUGGAAAGUUUUUCGGUUGAAGAUGAUCUCGCGGCCUAUCAGCUUGUUGGUGAGGUAAUGGCUCACCAAGGCGACGACGGGUAGCCGGCCUGAGAGGGCGACCGGCCACACUGGGACUGAGACACGGCCCAGACUCCUACGGGAGGCAGCAGUGGGGAAUAUUGGGCAAUGGAGGAAACUCUGACCCAGCGACGCCGCGUGCGGGAUGAAGGCCUUCGGGUUGUAAACCGCUUUCAGCAGGGAAGAAGCGAAAGUGACGGUACCUGCAGAAGAAGCACCGGCUAACUAUGUGCCAGCAGCCGCGGUAAUACAUAGGGUGCAAGCGUUGUCCGGAAUUAUUGGGCGUAAAGAGCUCGUAGGUGGUUCGUCACGUCGGAUGUGAAAAUCUGGGGCUUAACCCCAGACCUGCAUUCGAUACGGGCGAGCUUGAGUAUGGUAGGGGAGUCUGGAAUUCCUGGUGUAGCGGUGGAAUGCGCAGAUAUCAGGAGGAACACCAAUGGCGAAGGCAGGACUCUGGGCCAUUACUGACACUGAGGAGCGAAAGCGUGGGGAGCGAACAGGAUUAGAUACCCUGGUAGUCCACGCCGUAAACGGUGGGCACUAGUUGUGGGGACCUUCCACGGUCUCUGCGACGCAGCUAACGCAUUAAGUGCCCCGCCUGGGGAGUACGAUCGCAAGAUUAAA
rnacentral:rRNA from 1 species